GCUGGAUGAGUAGUGUAGCGGUGAAAUGCAUAGAUAUUACUCAGAACACCGAUUGCGAAGGCAGGUUACCAAGUUAUAACUGACGCUGAGGGACGAAAGCGUGGGGAGCGAACAGGAUUAGAUACCCUGGUAGUCCACGCCGUAAACGAUGCUAACUCGUUUUUGGGCUAUAUGGUUCAGAGACUAAGCGAAAGUGAUAAGUUAGCCACCUGGGGAGUACGACCGCAAGGUUGAAACUCAAAGGAAUUGACGGGGGCCCGCACAAGCGGUGGAUCAUGUGGUUUAAUUCGAUGAUACGCGAGGAACCUUACCAAGGCUUAAAUGGGAAUUGAUAGCUGUAGAAAUACGGUUUUCUUCGGACAAUUUUCAAGGUGCUGCAUGGUUGUCGUCAGCUCGUGCCGUGAGGUGUUAGGUUAAGUCCUGCAACGAGCGCAACCCCUGUCACUAGUUGCCAUCAUUAAGUUGGGGACUCUAGUGAGACUGCCUACGCAAGUAGCGAGGAAGGUGGGGAUGACGUCAAAUCAUCACGGCCCUUACGCCUUGGGCCACACACGUGAUACAAUGGCCGGUACAGAGGGCAGCUACACUGCGAAGUGAU
rnacentral:rRNA from 1 species